rnacentral:lncRNA from 1 species
UCUUGUCUCUGAUAUUCUUAUCCAGGGGCUGCGGGAGGGCUGGACCCCACCUAUGAAGUCAUCCUCUGGGCCAGAGCGAAUGGCUCGGGAAUGGACCCAUAACCUAACUCAGGCCACUGAGGGAAGAAGUCUUGAAAACUCAGAUGCCAUCACCAGCUCUUCUUCCCAACCUCCCAUUUGCUGUUGAACUGCCGCACUCUGACAUCAUCCUGACCAGUCACUGACAGGACCCCCUGAAAACCAAAUCCAGACAGUGCUUGUAAAAGGUACUGCACAGGACUGUUCUACUCCACUUGACAAUCAAGAGCUCUUUGUACUUAUUGAACUUUUCCUUGGUUUCUGCUCUCCUUAUUCUUCUCCAGCCUAUCUGGUCCAUCUUUCUCCUCUUAGCCUAAAAUGGUGUUGUUUCCCAAGGUACUAACUUUGGCCUUAUCCUCUUCGUCUUUUAUGUACUUUUCCUGGAUGGCCCCCUUGCUUGUAUUGGCAGCUCUACACAGAUGCCUCUAAAUGCAUGAUCUAGUUUAAAUCUUCCUCUCGAGAGCUCUACUAAGCAUUGUGGGCCUCCUUUUCAAAUAUUUGCACAUGAAUAUUGCAUGGGUCCUCAAUACAACUUGUUUUUCAUAGAAUUUAUCAUUCUUACGCCAUAUCCCCAAACCCAUUCAUCUUCUUGAAUUCCUAGUUCCAUUUGGUGACACUGUUGUUCAACCAGUUCCUAAGCCCAAAAGGUAGGCGCAGAUCACUCAUUCCUUUUCCCCUUCUAUAUCCAAUCUGUCACCAAGUCAAGUUGGUUCUGCUUCCUAUAUCUUUACUUCUGUAUUUUAAAAAUUAUACAACUAAUACCUAAUUAUUAUUUUAAAAAUAUGUGGUCCAGAAAUAUAAGGAAUAAAGAUAUAAAACUCUCCUUCA